AUCCCAUGGUGUGGGCAUUUCCUUAAUAACUCCUUGAAUCUCUCCCAAGCUUCACAAAAUGAUUCAUCUUCCAGCUACUGAAAUGACAUAAUUUCAUUGCGAAACUU